rnacentral:rRNA from 1 species
AACCGAGAUUCCCCCAGUAGCGGCGAGCGAACGGGGAGCAGCCCAGAGCCUGAAUCAGUGUGUGUGUUAGUGGAAGCGUCUGGAAAGGCGCGCGAUACAGGGGGACAGCCCCGUACACAAAAAUGCACAUGCUGUGAGCUCGAUGAGUAGGGCGGGACACGUGGUAUCCUGUCUGAAUAUGGGGGGACCAUCCUCCAAGGCUAAAUACUCCUGACUGACCGAUAGUGAACCAGUACCGUGAGGGAAAGGCGAAAAGAACCCCGGCGAGGGGAGUGAAAAAGAACCUGAAACCGUGUACGUACAAGCAGUGGGAGCACGCUUCGGCGUGUGACUGCGUACCUUUUGUAUAAUGGGUCAGCGACUUAUAUUCUGUAGCAAGGUUAACCGAAUAGGGGAGCCGAAGGGAAACCGAGUCUUAACUGGGCGUUAAGUUGCAGGGUAUAGACCCGAAACCCGGUGAUCUAGCCAUGGGCAGGUUGAAGGUUGGGUAACACUAACUGGAGGACCGAACCGACUAAUGUUGAAAAAUUAGCGGAUGACUUGUGGCUGGGGG